ensembl:lncRNA
GGGGCGGAUCGUCCGCCGUGACGGGAGAGGCCGGAUGGGGGGGACGCCCGCUCUGUCCGCUGGUGGGCGCGUGCUCACCUGUGUGCGUGCACGUGUCUGCCUGUGUACUAGGGAUGUCACAAGAACCGAUACUUACAGUACCUUUCCAUACUAAAACACCGACGAUGCCUAUUUUUUUAAAGUUCCCGCGCAUCUGUGCUGCGCCUCUUCUGGAACUGAUUGGGGCAGUAUACGCUUCAGUGUUAUGUUCAGAAAACAAAGAUGGCAACUGCAGCACUCGUCCCACCUCAACUUGUUGACAAGAAAAGGCACAAAGUGUCGGGUAUGGUAGUACUUUGUGCAUUUGAGGCAGAUGACGGUGGCUUGAUUAUUUUUUUGGUGGAGUCAGUGUGUGUUCUCACCCCUGUGUGCGGGGGAGGUCCUUGAAGUGUUACGGCCAGCUCGUUUCGACCGUACAUAAAGAAAACAAGUACAAUGAAAUGACUUGCAAGAGUUAAGUUACCGUUAUUCUGAACGAAUAAUUAAACAAAACAAAGUCUAGGUUCAAAACAAAGGGGAAAAUCAUAAUCCAAAUGGGGAGAGAAAAGAUUGGUAUGAGUUGGGUAACUAAACAAAGGUGGGCCAAAGUGACUUCUCCAGAGGCAGUCGCCCCCCUGGAGGAAGGGCCGUGGAGAGGGGAAAUCCAGGGUUUUAUCCUCUCCACAACCAAGAGGCAAUCAGGGAACAGGGGUGUGCAAUCUCCCACGCUCUCCCUAGAAGAUACCGCCACCAGCAGGCGAGCAGAUGAAGGGCGGGGUCAUAACAGAAGUAAGUUCAAUCUUAGUAUUAAUAUUUAGUGCAUCUUGGCAUAAAUUGCGUCACACCCGACAAAAUCUCACUCCAAGGUUAUUUGAAAAAUUGGCACCUCUGAUGAUCAGAGAGGGCUAGCGCGAAUUGUGGCACCGGCAACUCGCCGAGGCACCUGUUGCAGGUUCCGCGGUGAAUCGUGGCAGCUGCCUCGAGUUUACGGCAACUGCCUCGGCUGAGUAAGGUACCUCGAGCAGUGCCACGGCUGUUAACGUACCGGGAGAGGUGCCACGGCUGUUUCCGUUAAUUUUAGUAUUCAUAUGUAUGCAACAUGUGACAGUAUAAUACAGGUUGAGUUGCCGUGGAGAGUCGUGGCAGCGGCAACAACUUCACGACAGCUGCCUCGACUGUUUUUCAUAUUUUGACAAAAUGUGACAAUACUAUCCUGCACUCUGUGCUUAAGAGUACGAGUGUUGUUGGUUGUAAUUGGUUGAGUCAGAAAACGCUGAUAAGUGAUGCAAUAGCAUCACUUAUCAGCGUAGCAAUACAGUAAUAAAGGAUAUUAUAUCUGUUCAUCAUCGUAUAUAUUAAUUUUAUGUAUGUUUAUAUAUUUUCUCACAUUUUUUAAAACCUUUUUAAUAAGUUUUUCUGUUUAUCUCAACAGGACUCUUGUUUGGGGAGGCAGUAAGAACAAUGUGACCGCAUGAGGCCCAAACAGCAUCAUUCCAGCUAUUGUAAACAUCACGUGAUCAAUCAGUUUGCCACAGUUCCUGUCUUGCAGGUCCUCUGGCGAGCGCAACUGCCACGACUUGCCGCGGCAGUCACCAUGAUAUGCUGCAGCAGCUGCCACGGCUUGCAAAGCAGUUAUCUCGACAUGCAGCUAUACCAGGGGUGGGCAAACUACAAGUAUUAUGAAUUAUUAAUUAUAGUAACGAACGCUGUAACACUUCUCCGUUCCCGACUUGAGUUUCCUAAAGCACGAUGACUGCAAAAGACCAGCAUAGAUGUUUCUUGAAUGGAUGAACACCUCAGAUCUGUCCUGAGAAUUGCCAGAACAAAGCUGACACCAAACUAUCUGCACUGGCAAAAAAGGGGGACCAACAACACUGUACCUACUGAAAUGCAAUGUAAAAAUGUAUGUUCACUAAGUUUUAGAUUUUACUUAUAAUUUAUAUUGGUUGACAAUAUAACUAUCCAUCUGACACCGGCCGGCCCGUCUGUCAAAUUUUAAAAGUCAAUGUGGCCCAUGAGCCAAAAAGUUUGCCCACCCCUGAGCUAUACAAUAAGAAAAUAACGUCUUUGAGAG